rfam:Oenococcus oeni PST-1, complete genome.
CGGGACAUAGCUCAGUUUGGUAGAGCACCUGGUUUGGGACCAGGGGGUCGCUGGUUCGAAUCCAGUUGUCCCGA